UACGUAGGGGGCAAGCGUUGUCCGGAAUCAUUGGGCGUAAAGAGCGUGUAGGCGGCUCGGUAAGUCCGCUCUGAAAGCCCGGGGCUCAACCCCGGGAGGCGGGCGGAUACUGUCGGGCUAGAGUCCGGAAGAGGCGAGUGGAAUUCCUGGUGUAGCGGUGAAAUGCGCAGAUAUCAGGAGGAACACCAAUGGCGAAGGCAGCUCGGCUGGGACGGUACUGACGCUGAGACGCGAAAGCGUGGGGAGCAAACAGG
rnacentral:rRNA from 1 species